UUCCCUUGUGCAGUUUUUCGCACAGUGCAUGUGUUUGACGUAGACAAACUGAGAGCUUGAAAUAAGGAUUUAAAGUAACAAAAUGAUUUCCCUCUUUUAUCUUCCAGGUGUUGUGUAAUCACUGGGAAAAGAGAAAGAAAAAGUAAAAAAACAGUAGGUAA
rnacentral:lncRNA from 1 species